rnacentral:sRNA from 1 species
CAUCCUUAAGAGGAUUGAAGCAGGUUAUAGAGGAAUCACAGCUGUGCACUCCCACUACCCUCAUCUCUUCAGUCACCAUGUCAUUAACAGCAUCUCUCUCUGCUAUAUUCUCCCUCCUUUCAAUAGCCCAGCCUUCUUUGUGUUUCAAAGCAGGCAAGAAGCCUGUCUAGCUAACUGUUUAAAUUGGAAUUCUUCAAGAGUUUGAUUCUUCAUUUUCUUCUUUCUCCACUAAAAUUGAUUUCACAUGUGUUUGACUCAAGGGUGAACCUGGUGUGGUUGGUGCUGUGGGCACUGCUGGUCCAUCUGGUCCUAGUGGACUCCCAGGAGAGAGGGGUGCUGCUGGCAUACCUGGAGGCAAGGGAGAAAAGGGUGAACCUGGUCUCAGAGGUGAAAUUGGUAACCCUGGCAGAGAUGGUGCUCGUGGUGCUCCUGGUGCUGUAGGUGCCCCUGGUCCUGCUGGAGCCACAGGUGACCGGGGCGAAGCUGGUGCUGCUGGUCCUGCUGGUCCUGCUGGUCCUCGGGGAAGCCCUGGUGAACGUGGUGAGGUCGGUCCUGCUGGCCCCAAUGGAUUUGCUGGUCCCGCUGGUGCUGCUGGUCAACCUGGUGCUAAAGGAGAAAGAGGAACCAAAGGGCCUAAGGGUGAAAACGGUGUUGUUGGUCCCACAGGCCCCGUUGGAGCUGCUGGCCCAGCUGGUCCAAACGGUCCCCCCGGUCCUGCUGGAAGUCGUGGUGAUGGAGGCCCCCCUGGUAUGACUGGUUUCCCUGGUGCUGCUGGACGGACUGGUCCCCCGGGACCCUCUGGUAUUUCUGGCCCUCCUGGUCCUCCUGGUCCUGCUGGGAAAGAAGGGCUUCGUGGUCCUCGUGGUGACCAAGGUCCAGUUGGCCGAACUGGAGAAGUAGGUGCAGUUGGUCCCCCUGGCUUCGCUGGUGAGAAGGGUCCCUCUGGAGAGGCUGGUACUGCU